AGGCCUGUAGCUCCAAUUGGUAGAGCGACGGUCUCCAAAACCGUGCGUUGUAGGUUCAAAUCCUACCAGGCCUG
rfam:Omnitrophica WOR_2 bacterium GWA2_47_8 gwa2_scaffold_6299, whole genome shotgun sequence.